UAAACGACUCUCGGCAACGGAUAUCUCGGCUCUCGCAUCGAUGAAGAACGUAGCGAAAUGCGAUACUCGGUGUGAAUUGCAGAAUCCCGUGAACCAUCGAGUCUUUGAACGCAAGUUGCGCCCGAAGCCAUUAGGCCGAGGGCACGCCUGCCUGGGCGUCACAC
rnacentral:rRNA from 1 species